rnacentral:lncRNA from 1 species
AGUUGGAAGCAGAGGAGUUUUAGUGUUUUUACAAUGGAAAUCAGCUGGAUGUCAGAAGCUUUGUCUCCGCCAUUAAUACAGAGUCACAGAGACUAAGGAAACAAGCUGCAACUAAUUUGGCCAAUUUUUUUUCUCCUCUUGGCUGUGUAAACAGAAGAGAAGGGUUUGUUUGGUUGUAGAUAAUGUGGGCUUCUAUCUCUGCCCCCACAAGCCUU